rnacentral:tRNA from 5 species
UGCCGGGUCGUUCAAUUGGUAGGACACCAGACUCUGAAUCUGGGCGUUGGAGGUUCGAGUCCUCCCCCGGCAGCCA